CACGUAGGGGGCGAGCGUUGUCCGGAUUCAUUGGGCGUAAAGGGCGCGCAGGCGGCUCGGAAAGUCGGGUGUGAAAACUCGGGGCUCAACCCCGGGCGUGCAUCCGAUACUGCCGGGCUUGAGGCAGGUAGGGGAGAUCGGAAUUCCUGGUGUAGCGGUGAAAUGCGCAGAUAUCAGGAGGAACACCGGUGGCGAAGGCGGAUCUCUGGGCCGAUACUGACGCUGAGGAGCGAAAGCGUGGGGAGCGAACAGG
rnacentral:rRNA from 1 species